AGGGGCACAAAUAGCUUGGCAUGAGUAGCUAUGGUGGAACAUCAACAGUAGCGGUAAAGGAGUGGCUUGGUAUGAGCAGUAGGUAGAUCAAUUGAGAAUAUCUCCAAAUGGCCGUGGGAGUGGCCGUGAGGCAUGAUGUAGAGGCUGAGAGCAUCACAGGAAGCGAACAGGGACGUCAAGGAUCCUGGCAUUGUAGACCU
rnacentral:lncRNA from 1 species